rnacentral:rRNA from 1 species
CAGCCGCCGCGGUAAUACGUAGGGGGCGAGCGUUACCCGGAUUCACUGGGCGUAAAGGGGGUGUAGGCGGCUCGGUAAGUCGGGUGUGAAAUCCCACGGCUCAACCGUGGAAUUGCGCCCGAAACUGCCGAGCUUGGGGCCGGUAGAGGGAGACGGAACUACCGGUGUAGGGGUGAAAUCCGUAGAUAUCGGCAGGAACGCCGGUGGGGAAGCCGGCCUCCUGGGCCGCGCCAGACGCUGAGGCCCGAAAGCUGGGGGAGCAAACCGGAUUAGAUACCCGGGUAGUCCUAGCCGUAAACGAUGCCCACUAGGUGUGGGGGAGUAUUUCCUCCGUGCUGUAGCUAACGCGUUAAGUGGGCCGCCUGGGGAGUACGCCCGCAAGGGUGAAACUUAAAGGAAUUGGCGGG